UUGAAUUUCAGAAGUGCCACAUUUUGCCACUACCGAUUACAACACCAUAGAUCAUUUUCACUUAACAGUAAACACACAUAACCAAGAAUUAAAACAAAGGAAUUGAGGUUAGAUUUUGAUAUCGUGUCUGACAGCUCCUUUGUUUUUACUGGUAAUAUUGGUAUCGUGUCUGACAUUUACAAGGUCAUGAAAAUGAUCUAUUGCCG